AAGUAGAUGAGGAUAUGUAAUCCCGGACCCAGGUCGAAGGCAGCGACGGUGCUCCGGAGGACUGACCGCUGCGCCUGAUCCUCGCAGUUUAGAACCUGCUGGCAGGAUCCUGACGUCGCGGCUCGCGACAGACCUCUACUGGGGAGGUGACAACAGCCACCCCUGGCUCCCUGCGUGUCCAGGACUCUGAGCAGACCUGGCCAGUGGGCCGCAGAUCUGGGUGCUGGAGAACACAGACCUUUCAUGGACCUUCCAGCCCUGUUUGAAGCUUCACCAUCUACACAGCCUUCCACAUCUACUUCUGGCACAGGAAAAACACCGGAGCAAAGGCAAACAGAUUUCUAGCCAUUUCUGACACCAUCCCUUGCAUUUUUAAUGAUUCACAGUGUCUCCGCCUCUGUUGCUAGGACCGACAGGAACUUAAUUAUCUCCUUGUCAAGUCUCCGAGUCACAGGUAUUGAUUUGUGACCUCUGGUGGGAUCCACAGUGCUGCUUUACCUCCCUCCCAGGUCUCGCCGUUCACCCCUUCUGCCCACCAUGCCCCUUUGCUAUUCAUCUGGGAGAAUUUUGCUUGGUCUGAAAUCCCGCCCAGCCCUGGUUAUUUUGCAAACUGAAGCAGACACAUGAAACUUGGUGGAGCACUAAGGUGUGUCAUGUGUUACUCGGGAUUUGCAAGGAAGAUUUCAUUUUUUCCACAUAGAUUCUCUGAAGAACCAAUACUUUCAUUUAAUUCCAACAAUAACAAAGUAUGUCGAAUGACCUUGUUCAAUGAAGGGCAUAUAGUAAGGUACUUACCUUUCCUUGGAAAUGUGCGUGCGUGUGUGUGUGUGUGUGUGUGUGUGUGUGUGCGUGCGCGUGCACACUGGCCCAGGAAUGCUGACAGAUCCUUUGAUAAUAUUAAGUGUGAUAAUCAAGAUCUGAAAGACAGAGACCGUAGGUGGAGGGACUCUCUCCAUCUGUGGGAGUUUCCUGGUUGGGAUGUUUCCCUGAGGUGUAAGAGGUGAUAAGGACGCUGACUUAGACACAUUAAAGAUCUUGGUAAACACCAUGGAUCAUGAAAUGGUAGGUCAUUUGUCAAUUUUACAAUUAUGCAAGAAUCCCUUUUAAUAUUUUGCCAUUUUAGAUUAGCAAUUUAACUUUUUUUCCCAAUACCAAUAAACCCCCAACUCACUUCGGAAUGCCAAGCUCAACCACUUCGAGGACAUUUUCUGAGCCAUUGUGACUGGUUUUUCUUCUCACCAGUGUCCAGUGAAGACAAUGUCCUUCAGCUGACAGUGAUCCAGUGCUUGCGAGCUCCAGAUCUUGUAAUUUUCUAAAAC